rnacentral:rRNA from 1 species
CACGUAGGGCGCGAGCGUUGUCCGGAAUUAUUGGGCGUAAAGAGCUCGUAGGCGGCCUGUUGCGUCCGCUGUGAAAGCCCGGGGCUUAACCCCCGGGUCGGCAGUGGAUACGGGCAGGCUAGAGGUAGGUAGGGGGAGAAUGGAAUUCCCGGUGUAGCGGUGAAAUGCGCAGAUAUCGGGAGGAACACCGGUGGCGAAGGCGGUUCUCUGGGCCUUACCUGACGCUGAGGAGCGAAAGCGUGGGGAGCGAACAGG